rnacentral:lncRNA from 13 species
CACCUUUACCUUGUAUCACCUUUACCUUGUCCAGGUGUUUACAACAUAUCACCUUUACCUUGUAUCACCUUUACCUUGUCCAGGUGUUUACAGCAUAUAUCACCUUUACCUUGUCCAGGUGUUUACAACAUGUAUCACCUUUACCUUGUAUCACCUUUACCUUGUCAAGGUGUUUACAACAUGUAUCACCUUUACCUUGUCCAGGUGUUUACACUACAUCACAGGUGAGUCAUGUAACCCAGAGACUACAUGGAGAGGUGACCGCACUGCAGAGACACAGCCAAUCAGCAGCUAGCCCCGAGGAGAGGGAGGAGCUACUGGUAUUGGACUCCCAUAACAUUGAAGGUACUUAACAUUGUUAUAAAGGCCACUAAACACUUUCAUAUGCAUGACAUAACAUAAUACACAUUAGUUUCAAGAGGGAUUUGUUGAACAAUGCAUUCAAAUAUUACAGUUAAGGCUGUCUAAUUGUGUCUAGAAACACCUCAAGGAGGACAAUAUACAACAUGCAAAACAUAUUGCUGUUGGUUCAUGUCAACAUUACUAAGGCAACCCCAAUCAUUUCCCGAAGUGUAUAUUAUCAAAUCAAAUCAAAUCAAAUUUAUUUUAUAUAGCCCUUCGUACAUCAGCUGAUAUCUCAAAGUGCUGUACAGAAACCCAGCCUAAAACCCCAAACAGCAAGCAAUGCAGGUGAAGAAGCACGGUGGCUAGGAAAAACUCCCUAGAAAGGCCAAAACCUAGGAAGAAACCUAGAGAGGAACCAGGCUAUGUGGGGUGGCCAGUCCUCUUCUGGCUGUGCCGGGUGGAGAUUAUAACAAAACAUGGUCAAGAUGUUCAAAUGUUCAUAAAUGACCAGCAUGGUCGAAUAAUAAUAAGGCAGAAUAGUUGAAACUGGAGCAGCAGCACAGUCAGGUGGACUGGGGACAGCAAGGAGUCAUCAUGUCAGGUAUUCCUGGGGCAUGGUCCUAGGGCUCAGGUCCUCCGAGAGAGAGAAAGAAAGAGAGAAUUAGAGAGAGCAUAUGUGGGAUGGCCAGUCCUCUUCUGGCUGUGCCGGGUGGAGAUUAUAACAGAACAUGGCCAAGAUGUUCAAAUGUUCAUAAAUGAUCAGCAUGGUCGAAUAAUAAUAAGGCAGAACAGUUGAAACUGGAGCAGCAGCACAGCCAGGUGGACUGGGGACAGCAAGGAGUCAUCAUGUCAGGUAGUCCUGGGGCAUGGUCCUAGGGCUCAGUACUCCAGUAUAUAACAAACUGACCCUAGCCCCCCGACACAUAAACUACUGCAGCAUAAAUACUGGAGGCUGAGACAGGAGGGGUCAGGAGACACUGUGGCCCACUCCGAGGACACCCCCGGACAGGGCCAAACAGGAAGGAUAUAACCCCACCCACUUUGCCAAAGCACAGCCCCCACACCACUAGAGGGAUAUCUUCAACCACCAACUUACCAUCCUGAGACAAGGCUGAGUAUAGCCCACAAAGACCUCCGCCACGGC